rnacentral:sRNA from 1 species
AUUGUAAGUAUUUAAAACAUUUAUAACUCUUUUUGAACCAUUUUAAAACUUUUGUGAACCUUUACAAAAGGUUUUAAAAGAAUUUACAAGAGUUUUUAAAGGGUUUUCUUAUAAAUUCUUUUAAAAAAUUUUAAAAACCCUUGUACAUCUAUUAAACCCCUUUUAAACCCUUUAAAAAUCUCUUUUAAAUCUUUUAAAUACCCUUUUAACAUCCCUUGUAAAUCUCUUAAAACACUUUUAAACCCUUUCAAAAUCCUUAAAAACCCUUGUAAGUCUUUUAAACCCUUUUAAAAUCCUUUGUAAAUCUUUUAAAAUCUCUUUUAAAAAAUCUUGUAAAUCUUUUAAAACCCUUUUAAAAUCCCUUGUAAAUCUAUUUCCUGCCAAAAAAGUUUUUUUUACGGGAAAAAUGGUUUUGAAAAAAACUUUUGGCGGGAAAUUUGUUUUUCGAAAAGAUUUGGCGAGAAUUUUUUUUCGAAAUUUUUUGGCGGGAACAUUUUGGCGGGAAAUUUAUUUUGGAAUAUUUAAGGCGAAAAAAUAUUAAUAUUUCAUUUUGUUAGCCUAAAUAAAUU